CAGAAGCAGCCAUGAGGAUCCGUGGACCCUGGUUAAGAACCCUGAUACUGAUUCAUGAUCUCUGACAGCUUCUGCACGAAGGUCCCUUCCAAUUCUGACAGUCUGUGUUUGAAGGUCUAAGGACCCUUCAUAGCUCUGACCUUGCCUAAUGCAGGGGGCAAGAGCCGGUAUCAGCCGUGUCUGUGUUAAGGGAGCAGAGGUGAGAAGUGACCGUCGGCCUGGAGCUGUCGGGGAUCCAAGGACGUCACGGAGGAGGCUGUUAGGAUAUCCCUUCCUCGUUUCUGGUCGAUGUUGAGAGCAAUAUCUGAAGGCUCUCGCACUGAAGAUACUAAAGAAUCUCAGCCUUGGGAAAAACCCCAAAGGCCAUCUAGUGACUACCCACUGCCUGGCCAUCUUCACAGCCUCUGGAACAGCCUUUCUACCUCCUUGACAGUGACCCUGGAAGUCUGAACUCUUUCAUGUCCAGAGCUGCGCCCUGGAGCCCUAUUGUCCUGAUAGGUGACUGUCUCUCCUGGACCAUUAUUUCAGGAAUAACUCAACAACUUCACUUCAUUCCCUCCUCCCUGGCCAUCUUCACGGCCUGAC
rnacentral:lncRNA from 1 species